AUGCCGUCCGAGGCCUCGAGCCGCCGCCGCGGCCGCGGCCGCGGGCGCGGACCCCCCGCCGACCCACAGCCAGCCCAGCGCCGCGGCGGACGCGGGUCGGCCGCCAAUCCGGCCGCGGCAGCCCGUCGCCGCCGCGCCGACGACAGGCUCCGCGCGGGCUACUCGAGGGUGGUGCACUUCGACGUCCCCGCCGCCGCCGGCGGGCGCGAGGUCAUCUCCGUCGACUGGCGCGGGGAGCGCCCGGAGAGCGGCCGCGUGCCCGGCGGAGGGCUCACCGUCUUCGUCGCCCUGGGCAGGGACGGGAGGUACUCGGCCGACGGCCUCCGAGGGCGGUUCGACACCAUCGAUGAGCUCCUCCACGCCUUCGGUGCCUGCUGGCCCUCCCCCUGCGCCGUUCCCGCACCGUCUGAGGAGCAGUCGUCAACAGCUGCCCAGGCUGGGUCUUACCCACUGCGUGCUUCGACCUCCACCCGGCACGCCCAGUCGUCAACCGCUGCCCAGGCUGGCUCGUACCCACUGCAUGCUUCGACCUCCACUCGGCACGCCCAGUCAUCAACCGCUGCCCAGGCUGGGUCAUACCCACUGUAUGCUUCGACCUCCGCGACACAGGAUUGCUUGUAUGCUCCGAUGUCCGCAACACAGGAUUGGCCCUACGCUCCGGUGUUCACUCCGGAGUCUGCUCCGGUGUUUGCUCCGACGUCAAAGCAUGCUCCGCCGCCAACUCCGUACGCUUAUUUCGCAAAGUUGUACGCAAAGUAUCUUCCGGACUGCCCUCCGGCAUACUCUCCAUGCUCUCUGACGCCGUCUAAGGAGCAGCAUAUGGAUGAGCCUGCAUCGGCACAUACGCUGCAAAAACUGGAUGUCCUGUCAUUGGAGGAUUCGAACAAUGGACCAUCAGGGUGCCGCCUUUCCUCGUCGCCCAUUUGGAACCGUUCUGUUUUUGACUGGGGAAUUACAUUUUACACCACCAGAGAUCGCACAGGAUCUUUCCGCACGUAUCCUGAUGUGGGCGGGCCUUUCCAGAGCUUGGAUGAAGUUAACAGCGCUAUCGAUCGAUAUCUCAUUGACCAUGAGGAUCCAACAAUGUUUGACUUCAAUAUUCUAUUUGAGAACUACUUACUGAACUGGGAUUUGUACAAUUGGUGUGCGGGGCUUUCUCAAGUGGAUGCGAUUGUAAAACGUGUUCGUUACUAUCCUGAUGGCACAAAGAAGCGUGGAUCAAAAGUCAAAGAUAAAAGGCGUGAUGAGGAUUACCAGUUGGCUCGAGCUUUGGUGGACAUGUAUAACGACCAUCAUAAUCUUUUUGGGGAUCUUGCAUAUGAGGUCAAAGAUUUUCUGCAUGGCAAGCCGCUUUGGGAGGAUUAUUAUAUCCAUUGGACGUACUUUCAUAUGAAUUUCACUGCAAAGACCAAAGGAUCUUAUGGUGUUGACACUGGCAACCUAUUCUUUGCUGAAGUCGCAUAUACGCGAGGAGAUGAUGGAUUAACGGUGAACAGUUGCUGUAUACUUGAACCUUCUUCUGAUCAUGGCCUCUGCUAUGGUUGUUGUGGUGAUGUGAAGCACCCCAACGAUGGUAAUGCAUAUGCUUGUGGUCGGCGGAACAUAUCGUAUUGUUUUCAGAACGGUGCACCUGAUCUACCUCUGGACUAUUUCGUGGACCGCUAUUACGAGGACUCUGAUGAAGAGGUGGAAAGACUGAGAUCUCAGUUCAAGGAGGUUGUUAAGGAGGAACUCAAGCCACUGCCGAUGCCCCUCGUGAAAUUAUCUCCUCCAUGGGUUGAAGAGAAGGCGGCUUUGCAUGAGGGAGCUAGCUGCAACGUCGACCCCGAGCGAGCCGCCACAUGCCUCACCCAGCUCCACGUUGUCGUCGCCAUGCCUCCUAGCAGACCCCCUCCCCCCCCUCCCCCCACUUCAACUGUCUGCCAGAGCUUUGAUGGCGCAGUCGUCGACGAGGAGACAGAGGAGGAGGAUAGCGAUGAGGAGGAGGAUGAAGAAGAGGAGAGCUACCAGGGGGGUUGCAGAUCAUCGCAGAGGAGGAGGAUACACAAGAGGGCUAUGAGGGGGUUGGACAUCAUUGCAUAG
rnacentral:rRNA from 1 species